UUUUCAGUUUUGAAUCCUCUCUCUGCCUCAAAAGAAUUGGGUGCCUGUCUUUAAGGAUAAGAUUCUGCAGUUUGCCAACCAAGAGAAGCAGGCUCUUCAUCUACUUUCCAACAUAGAAACUAUGUCAGCAGACUGUCAGAGUGACAUCACCUUACUCGAGCUUCCUGUAGUCCUCCCAACAUCAGUUUACAAGAUAGGAAGGAAAAUGUUCAGACCAACUUGCAUAGAAACCAGGACUGUCCCACGCGUUGGGGAAGCAAACAAAAAAUCAUUCAGAGAGUUUUGGAGCAAGCCCACGCAAUUAAAAGAGCGCUGGAUGACCGACGACAUCAACACCUUAAUCUGACAUGGCAGGACAUCGCAGUUCUUGAGUCGAUAAUUGCAGCACUUAAGCCAUUUUCAGAAUUUACAGAUGUUUUAUCGAAUGAGAAAUUUGUCACUGCGUCAUCGGUUAAACCUGUGCUGAGGCUGCUGACCAAUGAUGUCCUGGAUCCUUCCCCAGAAGAUAGUGAUUUAACAAAAAAACUCAAAAGCAAAGAUGAUCGCUGUCUUGGAUGAUAAAUACAAAGCAUU